CUUGGCUUUUUAAACAAAUCUUUAUUUCCCCUGGUUACAAAAACAAUGUGCUCACUUUAGAUAAUUUGAGAAAGGCAAGGAAGAAGAGAAGAAACAUCAUUUUUAAUUCCACUUCAGACAUAGCCCUUCCUAACACUUUAAUGCUUUAAUGUAUUUUUUCAAGUAUGUUUUGCUGAAUAUGCCUGUAUAUAUUUACAUGUAUACAUAUAUAAUCCAGAAAUAUAUGUGGGUAUACACAGACAUGCACACACGUAUAAUUCAAAACAUCAUGAAACCUUACAUUCUGGUUUAGCGAUCUCAUGUUUCUCACAAACAAUUAUCUCUACUUAUUUGUAAAUUUACUUAUUUGUGGAGAGAUUAGAUCCUUCACAACAUCCAAUGUGUAUUAAAACCCAUAUUCUAGAACAGAUGUCCAGAGACUAUUAAAUAAAAAUUCAUUUUUCAUUCCAAGUUGCAAGAUUUAAUAAGAUCAGCAGAUCUACACACAGAAACCUCGACUAACUACGUGAGUCUAGUAUGUUUAUCUCCACAAGACUGUGGCCUCUCACUGUCAUUUACGCACAUUUCCUGCAAUUCUGACAUCCUGAGUUUGCUAGAAGGAUGAGAAUCUGUAUAGGAGGACAUCUCAAACUCUAGUUUCCACCACCGAGGUAACCUCCUGUUUAGAUACCCCACAUUCACAUUCUAGGCAUCAGGUUCUAGAAUAGCUGUAAUAUUACUUAGCAACUAUAUGCAGCAAUAACACGACUGACUACAAAACAAUCUGAUGAAAAACCUAAUCACUAAUUAGUCAAUAAUUGAACAAGAACAUUCCGCUAAUGGUGAUGCCCUGAAGCUCACUGUUUCCCUCAUCAUGAAUUAUUGAAGUCAUGUGGCCUGAAAAAGUGCACACUGGAUGCAGGAGUACGGAAUCAGAUGCCCACAAAGUGCAGAGACAUGUUUCUGAGUGUUACCGGGAGCCAGCCAGGCAGAGCUGCAGUGUGGGAGCCCGGCCUCAGAACGGGACACCCCACCAUCGAUCAGGAGACUGGCUUCUGCCCAUCUGCUCUUUAAGCCUGUGUCUCAGAUGGUGUGAAAUAGGGAUCACCCUGAGAGAAAGCUGUCACUGCAAGAUUCCGGGAUACACUGCCUUCAUUUUUAUAAAUGCAUGCAAUUAGCUAUGACUUUUAAAUUGGCACCAUGGUGAACAAGCAUGUCUCAAGCAUACAUGCCAAGUAUUACAAGCCGUUUUUCAAUGGCUUCAACUUCCUCAGCUCCAAAACCUUGGAUCUCACUCCAACUCAGCAUCUACUAUUAUGUUCUGUGUCUCCAUUAUAUUAGAUUUGCAGGAGGUUAACGAGAAGCACAGCACAUAAUUCACAUGAAUAGGCUUUGAAACCUAAGUGUGAUGAAAAGUAUUAUUAUUACUGUUAUGCAAAGUCCUUGCAGCAAAAAUUACAUUAUCCUUUUUCCAAAUAUAUUGUGAACCUAUUGCUGCGCUAGAAUUCAGAUCUAGGCUUUCUUAAAACUCCAUUUGUGAUGCUUGCACUUACUUCAUAAACUUCCUUGGGUAUGAAAACACUUAAGUUUUCUUUUCUCCCCAAUGCCCCAGGCAGUUGACAGGUGGAUAAUGACAUCAACAGGCAGGUGGCCAUCAAAGACUCAGGGUAGGUGUGUUUUUGUGAGACCCCAGGUGGUUGAUUUCUGUAUGAUACCUCUCCAUAAAUGUGAAUUUCCUAUUCUUUAUUUCUUAAUCUUAAUAAAUCACUAUUUAAAUAACAAAACUUAACAUUCAAUCGUUAUUUUAAAGAUGACUUUUUAAAAUAACUCAAAGAGACAAAGGCAAAAAUUCCAACUAAUUUGCGUCUUUUCCCCAUUUUUCUGCCAUAUGUACAACUUCCAGUUCAAGGCUCACUUUCCUCUGGCAUUUGUUGCAUCUGUUUGAGCUUCCCAAUAGCAUCUCUCACGAUCAGCUCAACUCCGAUUCGGCGGCUAUAGAAUGGUCAAGGGCUGUACAUGGCUUUAGCUAUUCACCUGGAAGGUCUUUGGUGACUGGGUGUUGAUUUGCACCUCCACAGACGUGUGGUAGGAGAGACGCAAGGAAGAAACUGACAAGGGGAUCCCGCUGGAGCAGUCCUCCGCUGUCCAGUUAAGAAGUGGUCAUUUCCACUCCGUUCUUAUGAGUUCCCACCACCUGUUAGUUCCUUAACGUUGCUAGGUAGCCCUAGGGGGCAGCCGGAUUUGUGUAUUAAGCUCAUUUAUUUGUGCCUUUACUGUCGGCAACAACCUGAACCCACAAACUACUUCACAAAGAAAAGUCUGAGCAAAAUGUAGACAACUCUUAGGACAGGUCUUUGCCAUCAUUUGAUCACACCGUCUAUCAACCGAUGCUAAUCUUCAAGUGUCACCUGGUCUUCCAGGGCAGGUUCCGGUAACGCAGUACAGCUUUGGCAUAACUUCAGAACAAGAAAUCCCAGUGGAUCGUAGCUAUCUACUUAUAAAUUAUAAUUUUCCCCUAUGUAGAAGAAAAUAUUCAAGACCUAUAUAAUUCACAUACUUAGAAAAGAA
rnacentral:lncRNA from 1 species